UACGGGGGGGGCAAGCGUUGUUCGGGAUUACUGGGCGUAAAGGGCUCGUAGGUGGCCAACUAAGUCGGACGUGAAAUCCCUCGGCUUAACCGGGGAACUGCGUCCGAUACUGGUUGGCUUGAGUUUGGGAGAGGGAUGCGGAAUUCCAGGUGUAGCGGUGAAAUGCGUAGAUAUCUGGAGGAACACCGGUGGCGAAGGCGGCAUCCUGGACCGACACUGACGCUGAGGAGCGAAAGCGAGGGGAGCAAACG
rnacentral:rRNA from 1 species